GCUGCGCACACACACAAAAAAAUCCAACCUAAAUUGAAAAUAAAAUAAACACGUAACAAUUCAUUCUGUGCUAUUUUUCAAUGUGAGUCAGUGAGUGACCGGUGACUGGCUGCUGCAGCCAAUGAUGCGAUUCACAUACGUAUUUACCAUAGACUGUAUAUAAUGGUAUUUACGCAGCUAAUCAACGUCUGGCGUCCUUAUGUGCAGCCAUCGUUGUUCUCAUAGAUAUGAAUGAGUAGAUAGGACACGCCCCUUUGAGCUGCGUGCUACUGCGAGGCUAAGCUAGUGGGGGAAAAGUUUCAGUGCAUUCCGUUGAUGUAGACGGCGUGAAAAGGGAAACAAGUAUGCCGGCUCACUGUGCUGCAUACAGUUAUACACUACGUCGUACGACUGAGACAAGGAAACUUGGAAUGACUUUUCAUAGGUUUCCCAGAGACUAUGGGUUGAGGAGGAAGUGGAAGUUUGUCGGCUUAGACCUGGUGUCAUUCCAUCAGUGUUAAACUUCCCGGCUCAUCUUGGAAGAGUAUGUGCCAGAAAGACCACGACCAAGCAGCCUUGAGAUCUUAGGCAGUGUCUCCCUGAGGUCCCUCUCUAUCUCCCCACACAUCCACCAACCACUGGAACACAUCUCCAAAGUUCUGCUGGGCCAGCUCAGCUUCCCCUCAGAAGAAGUGCCGCCACCUGCCAGAUGAAGGAGCCUUUUGAGAGGCAGCUGGCAUCAUGAUUGGACUGUACUUUGGUCUGUUCCAAUCCAGCUUCAGCUGCAGAGACGGCAGGCGGGACGAGUCAACGGAGGCCGGAUGGACGAAGACAUGCAGCUGAGUACAAUCCAGAAAACAACAGAGGAGGAGUGCAGUGGCCCAGUGCCAGAACAAACAGAGUAGCAUCGUAUGUCUCUUAGGGUGCUUUCACACCUACGUCUUUUAGUCCGCUUAAAGCGGACUGGAGUCCGGAACACCUGCAAGUACGGUUCGUUUGGGCUGAUGUGAAAGCAUACCAGAUUUUUUUGGUUCGGACUAACGAACCGCACCGAGACCACCUUCGGGAGGUGGUCUCGGUCCGCUUCUAUGUGAACUCCAGUUCGGUUCGCUCCUGGUGAGAACACAAACCUGUCUCCAUUCGGACCACUUGAUGGCGCAGCAGACUUUUUGGUCUACGGGAGCUUCCGUAGCAACCUGCACAGGGAAUUUUACGCCAAUCAGCGUACACCUACGUCAUCAUAAACGCCUUGUUUUGUAAACAGCGCCGCCAAACGACUGGGGGGAGAUAUAACAUUAAUUGGAGUAGGUUCACCUGCGAAAACACUGGUGUGAGUGCGAACCGAACCAGUUGAAAAUAGCAACAUUGUAACAACUUUUGGGUCCAAACGAACCACUUUAGUGGACUAACAGGUGUGAAAGCACCCUUACAAAACAUCAUAGUAUAGCCUUUGGUAUGAAAAAACACCAUCAUAUACAUUGUAUAUUGUACAAAUAGGUCAAAGGAAAGAGACAUACAUUGUAGAAUUGUAGUAAUUGUGGGCUGACUGAUUUACGGAUUAUCAGUGUUUUAUUUUUACUGAUUUACGGUAAUAAAUCAAUUUAAAAAUGGCGCUACUUUGGCUCUGAACCUUAAUCUACCUGUGGUCGCUCUGUCUUCUGGAGUGAUUUGAUUGGUUAUGUGUCACGAAUAAAACUCCUUUAACUUAACAUCUGUAAACAAAACAAAAACGUAUCAACAAAGUUUCCUGUUAGAGUUUGUGUUCUUCUAAGUUUAACUCCAAGAUUUUAAAUACUUUCAUUUACUGCAAAUGAAUAUCUACUCCAAAUGUCUCACUAAUAAUCAUUAUCAGCCUUAAAAACCCACAAAACACCCCUCUAUACUGGACCACACUUAGUACAGUCCGGUUCCCCCUUCUAUAAAUCUGCUUGGAAUCAUCCACUUCCUGUUUGUCAAAGUGGCCUUCUACCUGGACAGGUUUUGUUGGAGCUCAUGCAACAAACAUUUUGGGUAACUGCACUUUAAUAUGGAUGGAUGACACUGAAUUAGAGUCUGUUUUAAUGAGACUGAGUUAAGAUGUGUAGCUCUGUCAUUAAAUAGUAAAUUAUUACUCAGAAUUCACAGAGAAAAGUCUGAAAUGUUUGCUAGGUUAGCAUGCCACAUGUUCUUUGGCUCAGCUAAAGCUAACUCUCUCCAACUUCUGGAUCUCUUGAGUUACUUGUUGUUAAAAUAUCUUGCUGUAGGUGCUGAAGCUCAGAAAGUCUGAGAUGUUUGUUCAGAAUAAGCUCAUUCUCAAGUCUGAUCUGAACUGUUCUCUUUUGUUUGAACUUUCCCUAAACUUAGGAGUUAAUGACAGAGCAGCACAUCCAGACUCAGUCUCAUUUAUGUAGCGAUUAAACUUCAGUGUCAUUCAUUGAUGUUAAAGUGCAGUUUUUCAAAUGUUUGUUACACAUGCUCCCGACCAAACCAGUCCAGGUGGAAGAUGAUGUGAAGAGAAAGCUCCAGAGGAUGAAUAUCACACAUUUACGUUGGAAAUAAAUGUCCUUUAAUUAGACAUUGUCAUGCAAAAGUUGGAUUUCCCUUUAAUGAUGUUCAAAUCUUUGUUGAGUGUUUUGUUGUUAUUGGUUUCUAAAUGUUUUUUGACACUCGGCUCCAAAGAUUAAAACCUUUUACGGCUCACAAGCUGCAACAAUUCACACAUUAUCAACUAUCUUUCUGAUUAAACUAAGAUAAAAAGUGAAAAACUGUCUGAUUCCUGCAUCAUGAAUGUAAAUCUUUUUGGUUUUUAAGAACGUAAACUGAAUAUAUUUGGGCUUGACAUUUUUUAAACCAAAACAAGAAAUGAAUUACUGGAGAAAACAAUCAACAGAUUAAUGGUCAAAGAAAAUGUGUUUUCCAACAUAUAUGGCUGAAUUACUCCAACAUUACAAGAUACAUACAAUAUAAAUUCAAUUUUAUUUAUAUAACUCCAAUUACAGGUCAAAUUGUCUCGACUUUAUUUUUACAUUUUUUUUGUCAUAUUUAAAAUAUGACAAAGUAAGAAAUUUAAACCUCUUUACUAAUCCAAUUUAUUAUUUUGUUUUUAAGAGACUAAUAGACAAUUAAAAUAAGUUUCUCCACUAAAACUAAUAAACAUGAGGUCAAAUAGAAGGAACAGUUUUAAAUACUGCAGUCCCACGACGACAAGAAUAAAGUUUGUCAACAAAAACAAAAUCUGCUGGUGGAUUCCAUUAAAGUCCUAAUAAAUGAUAAAGUGUGAUACUAAAGGUUUGGGGUGCUAAAAAUGUCUAAAGAUAUGAAGUUGAACAUCUGGAUGGAGGUUGAUAAAAGUUUCUCUCCCUUCAUUUCUCUGGAGCUGACUCCAUGGAUUUUAUGGAUGGUGGUUAAAGAGCUGCUCUUCUAGUCGUCGUCCUUCUAGUCUCUGUAAAAAGUCAGUCCAUCCUGGCUGACUUCAACACCUCUUCAUGACAGCUUGUUCUGCCUCCGACCUCGUGGAAACUCAAGAAACUCAGGAAAACCUGUGGAGACUCGAAG